rnacentral:rRNA from 1 species
UACGAAGGGGGCUAGCGUUGCUCGGAAUUACUGGGCGUAAAGGGCGCGUAGGCGGGUCGUUUAGUUAGAGGUGAAAGCCCAGGGCUCAACCCUGGAAUUGCCUUUAAUACUGGCGACCUUGAGUAUGGCAGAGGUGUGUGGAACUCCGAGUGUAGAGGUGAAAUUCGUAGAUAUUCGCAAGAACACCAGUGGCGAAGGCGGCUCACUGGCCCGAUACUGACGCUGAGGCACGAAAGCGUGGGGAGCAAACAGG